UUUUGCAGAAUCAAAUAAUCAUCGAGUGCAAAGUGAUGAUGUAAUACUAAAUGAAUCUCGACAAGAAGCUGAUAAUUCUCAUAAGAAGAAAAAUCCACCUCGUGGUAAUAAUAAGUGUCUAAAGUUGAAUAAUUUGUCACAUGGGGAGAAAAAGAUCAUUACUUUUUAUCAGAAUAGAGCUAUUGAGCCAGAAUUUUCACGAUAUCUUGGAAUUAUUAUUCGUGAUAGAAAUAUUUGCCCAGUAGCUGUUGAGAAUUAGGCCAAAAUACCACAACAAAAUAAAGAUCAUAUGUGGGCAUCCAUUAAGGAUAAAUUUGAUGCUGAGGACAUGGAGCAAAAGAGAGAGUUAGUAAUGAGACACUUGCGCGAUUUGUGGAAUAAGUGGCGUGGUGACAUGCACAGGAAAUAUGUGAAAGAAAAUUCAUUGCA